CAGCACAGCCUGGCACCAACACAGACGGACAUCAACACCAGUUCCAACUUUCCUGCAGUCCGAUGGUCACUUCUGUAAGCUAUUUUUUGGGAAUGUUGAUAUCCAGAUGGUUUGUCAGCUGUAUCAAGCCUGUGAGCAGUUCUGUGUCAGUAAGCACAUGGACCUGGCCCUUGAGAUCAACAGGAGAAUCACUGUUAAAAUUCAGCUCUCAGUUAAGGAAUCUGUGCUUGAAUUUGUGCCAGGUGGAAGUGAUUUUAACAAAUUUUAAAAUCUCCCAAAGAUGAGAAACUGAGUAUGGGUACAGAAUUCAGGCUGAUGCUUCACUUGUCAUAGAAUACCUUUAGCAGUUAAUGAGUGGACAUGAACUAAAACUCUGGGAUUAUGUGUCUACCAGGUUUUAUUUGGAAAAAUAAUUAAAAGAAAAAAAGAGGGACAAGAGCGUCAGACAAGUAGAGGCCCACAGUUUGGAGAGAAUUAGUUUCAAAGCAAAUCUUGGGUACUUAGAGUCUGAAAUACAAUAUACUCUGCUAUUCUUCCUUUUAGCUUACCUGGUGGUCCAUCCUGUACUUGUCUAGAGCAGCACUCUAUUUUUGGCGCUUUUUUUUUCUCAUUCAAUUUGUUAGAGCACUUAAUCAAACUUCAAUAUGGAUUGUGAUUACAUCUCAAGUUCUUCUUUGCACAAUGAUUGAUUUUGUUAAGGUGUGUUGUGGUUCCUCUCUAGUAAGAGCAGUUUGAGACUGCACUGAAGGAGGGGAAAAUUCAGACAAGAAAAACAACAACCUAGUAAUACCAAGCAGGUGAGGUAUUGAUCAAGGCUGUUCAAAAUGCUUGGCCAAUGAAUGUCUUUUUUCACCUCCAUUCAUUGGUUUACAGCAUCUCUGAGUCUCCUGGCUGGACACUGGACUUGUGCAGCUUAGUGUUGAAAUUAUUGUAGUCAAGCAAUUAAUGAAGAUUCACAAAAGCACCUAAAGAUGUUUUUAGGACUUUAUUGUUAUUAUUAUUAAGGGUGUUCUCCUUUGAAUGAUAAGCCUUGUACAAACAAGAAGAGAUAGUCCAUGUACGUGGACAGACUAAAGGACAAGAAAAAGGAAGGGGUUCAAGCCAUCUAAGUCCAUAACAAUCUCCCUCUAGGAGAUCUCAGUCUAAGAAAUCUUCCUCUAAGAGAUAGAAUAAGGGGCUGAGCAUUCUUGGAGUUUCUCAAAACUUCACUACAAAAGGCUUGGAGUAUGCUGAUUGAACCUGGAGCCCAUGCUUUGAGUACAGGUUGGACUACUUGUCUUCCAGAAUGGCCUUCAAACAGUGUCAUUUUUUAAUUCUACUGUCUGUUGUAAAUUCAGUAGAAGUCCUGUGUAUUUAAACUCUGUCUAGCACCUAAACUACAAAAAAAAAAGUCCUUCUUCUUUGGAAUUAAGUUGUCUCCUCCAAAACCACCAGAUGAAUGCUGUCUUCUGGUAACACGCUGUUGACAGAAGAAUGUGAUGUGAUAUAUAUAUUUUUGUUUUUUUAUCAUUCAGUUUAAGUGAAAUCUGCUAUAUAAACACAGCAGCUAAUAAUUUAAGAAAAAAAGGGGGCUAGAAAAUUGAGCUGACAAUCUCAAACAGGUACAAAAAUCUUCCUCUCCAUAAGACUGACCCUGACUGGAUUUUUUAAAGGGCAGAAAGACAAAACUGUUCUUUCACAGAUGUCCUGGGGAUCACAGCUAGAGGCGUCUCUGACAGCACUGCUCCUGUUGUGUAGCUAAAUUGUAUGGGUCAGGUCCUGAAGCUGUCAAUCCAGUUAAGUCUUCACCACUGUUUAGAAAAGAAGCAGAUAUACUCCAAAGGCUAAAUGCCAGUGACUUUGCUGUGACUUUGUGAUAAAGUCCUGGACUCUUUCAGUGGGAAGAAAGUACUCUUGCAUUAAUGUAAUUACUUGUGAUAUCACAUCUAAUACUCUCUUACUGAGUGUUUUCAAACCCUGGGCUCCCAUUUGGUUUUGAUGGACACCAGAUUUUUUUAGUUCCAAAUGGUUUUUGGGAUAUUUAUUUUUCUGUAGUGAUGGUAAUCUAAAUAGAGAGGUCAUUAUAAAUUCCUACUGUGCACAAUAAGGUUGUAAAUGUUACCUGAGGCAAGGUCUGAAGGAAAAGGUAAUAGCAGAUGUGCUCUUAUACCAACUGACGUAGAUGUGAAAAACAGAAUUUUUCUGGGGUACUAGCCACUGUCUACAUCUGAAACAGAAACAAGAAAUUUCAAGCUAGCUUGUUGCUUGGCUCUUGAAUUUUUCACCUUAAAAUCUGUAUUCAGAACCCACUGGGGCUGCUAGGCUGUCUGCUGUUUAUUUCAGUGGGUUUGGGAAUAAGUAUUACAUUAGCAAGAUUAAUGAUUGUAAUUCCAUUUAUAAGGUUUUCUGCUUUUUUCUCACUAUCUGCAUGCCCUUAGAAGCUUUUUCUUUGGCCAUUCAUUAAAACCAAACUAGUUGCCUUUCUGAGACAUGCCAAGGUGUUUCUGCAGUCUGCUAAUGACUGCUAGUUCUGCUGGCAGAUUUCAUAGGGAAAAUUUGGAAAAUUAAUCCAUAUUGCCAACAGCACUGCUGCCAUCUGAUUGUGUUAUUACAAGAGUUAAACUCUUAUCCUUUCUGUGCUCUGACUUACACACUGUGAUGCUUUGAUUCUGUCCACCUCCUAAUCAUGUCUGUCAUAAUACAAUUAGAAAGUCUUCACAGGAGCAUCCUGCAUGAUUUUAGCUUUAGCAAGAAAUAAUUGUCCAUGCUUUUUAUGGAAACAUUUAAUUUCAUCACAGCUGGUAAUUUCAAAUUAUUGUUUUUGUUCCAGUUAAUGGGAGCUGCAACAGAAAUCUCAGUCUGGCACAUGUCAUGGUGGCAAGAUCUGCAAGCAGCAGAAAAGUAGCAGUUCCUGAGAGGGUCAAUGGUUCACAGGAUGCAGGUUUUUAGCAUUUGCAGCUACAGGUUUAGGAACCUGUAGCUAGUAGGGUUUUGGUGUGAAUGUGUGAGAUGACAGGGAUGUAACCCCACUGAUCUCUUUCUGACCCACACCACUGCUGGAUUCCAUUCCUCAGCUAUAACAUUAAAACAACAUGGGAGGAAACCUGCUUUUUCAGGUGAGGGGUACUGGCAGAGGUGAUGGCAGAAAUCAUAAAAGCUCAUGCCAUGAUUUGGUAGGAGACUGGAGAGUCAGGAGAGUCUCAGCAGUGCCAGUACCACUGCAGGUGAGCCCCAGCAAGACAUGAUUAUUCCUUGAAAUGGGAGGGCAGGGAAGAAGCAUUCGUAAGGUUCAGAAAGAGCAGAACCUGAUGUUUAAGCACUUCAAGGUGUUAAAACUCUGAAAUGUUCAGAGCUGUUUUGUUUUGUUUUUUUUUUUUUUAUGACUUCCUCUGGAUGACAGAUAUGAAAGAUCAAAACAUCCAAUACUUGCUUUUUUAUAUAUGCAAUAUAAUGUAUUUCACAGAUAUUCUGGACAUGGGGACAUACAGACAACAGGAUCUGAAUUUUUGAAAUGCAUUUAUUACACAGAAUUAGUGUGUGGGCACUUUCAUUCAGAAUUAAGCUAAACUAAAAUAAAGGGUUAAGUUCAAGAGCAGAGGAUAUAAGACAAUGAAGACAGAGGGAGAAUUUUCCUUCAUACAAAUUUUAUGAGAAGCUCAUGGAGGUAAAUUGCUAUAAAACAUGUUUUCAGCCAGUAAAAAUGAGAUUUAUCCAGUGUUUUGAUUGAGAUGUUCAGUCGGGUAGAGAUUUAUCCAUAGCAGGUAUUAGACAUGCAGUGUGUGAAUGCUCAUGAAUUGGAUGGAAUAUAGGAGAAGGGCAUAAACUGCAGAGGUUUACUUUUAGAUCAAGUUAAAAUAGCCUUUGGCUUUUCCUGCUUUAUGCAGAUAUUGUAUUAAUUGAGUGAAUGCUCUUGCAUUGACUCUUUGUUUUUUGAUAGGACAAACAGGAAGUGAUAGAAAUAUAAAAUAGAUUGAACUAAACAUGGAGGAAUAGACAUUUCUGCCUCAAAAUAUAAGAAUUCAGAGACAGAGACAGAAAUUAAAGAUGUCACUUUCACAACAUGAGAAACUGUGGAAUUCACUGCAAAGGAAAGAUCAUGAAGCCAAGGGUUUAGUUAAAUCCAAAGAAGCAUUAUCAAUAUACAUUAAUUACAAGAAUAACUAGAGAAGUAAUUAUUAUGAGGAAAAGUCUGUAAGAAUAGAGGAAUAGAUAGAUACUGGACUUUGAUUAUUAUUCUAGUAUCUAUUAAGAUGAGAUAACCUAGCAGACAGGCAACAUGCAGUAGACAGAAAAUUAACUGAGAAAUGUCUGAGAUUAGUGUCUAUGAGACAUAGGAUUUAAAUGACAGUAGGUCAUAUCCAAGUUAUAACUUGAUGUAACUUCUUUUUCUGAACUUCUCUUCCUUCAUUUUUUCUGAGUUAAGCCUUUCAGAUGUCCAGCUGCUGAUGAGCAAUGUAUUCUGAUCAUACUGAUUCUUGGUGAGUCUGGAAAACUGAAUUUUUAAUGCUAGUUGCAGGAGUAUCAUGUUGAGCUAACUGUGCUUGGAGUCUGAAUAUUGUCAUAAAUAACAAUGCAGAGAAAAUAAGUGAUGAGGUUUAACUCCCAGCCCAGCAAAAGGUCAGUGAUCAAGAUGUAGAGUUUGAACUGUUCAGUACUGCCAUAAUAGAAGUGUCCAAGUUUAUUAGCAAGCUGAAAAGCAACUUGCAAUACCUGUGCAUCUUGUGAAGAAGCAAGUUGUGGAAACUGACAGAUGGAUUUGCUUUAAGAAUCUUUAGAAACACAAAUAAAACAUAUAUAUUCAGUUCUUCUGGGACACAUUAUGCAACAGACUUUCUCCUUAGUGAAGAAAUCAAUGGACAAUGGACAAGGGAUCACAAGAGGAGAAAACACUGCUCUCCCUCCUUCCAUGAGUUACAGGUGAAGAAAUGUGAAGGGGUUUAUAUGAGAAGGGGCAAGGAAUCACAGUGCAGGUCAUUUCACAUGUCAGACCUUUCACAUGUCAGCUCAGACAGUCCAUAAUAAUGGACAUAGAAUCACAGAACCAUAGAAUCAUGGACUCAUAGACUCAUAGAAUCACAGAAUGGCCUCAUUGGAAGGGAACUGAAAGAUCAUCUAGCUCCAGCACUUACACUAGACCAGGUUGCUCAGAGCUCUGUCCAACCUGGCCUUAAACACUGCCAGAGAUGGAGCACAUAAGUGGAACAUGCCAGAUGUUUAGCUGGUAUUUAAGCUGUUGCCCCCAACACCUGGCAUUAUCCAAUUACACUUGUCUAACGCCUUCAAAUUCAAUCUUAGCUCAACACCUCUGUCCUAUAAAUACACAAUCAUUUAAAGCCAUCCAAAAUCUAGGAGGCCAGACUCGCCCCAACAUCUAGCCAUGCUUCCCUGAUGCCUCUCUUUUGUCACUCCUCCCAUUCCUCCAACUACAAGAACUGGCUGAAAAACUAGUCAAAAUUACAGGAAUAGUUUUCAGGUAAAUCAAUGCAUCAAUAUAGAAGAAAUAGACUGUUUGUGUCUUUGCUAUGGAAAAGGCAGAUAUUUCAGCUCAACCCUUACUAGACAUUAAAGUCAAAACAAGGAUGAUAUUAAGAAGGCUCAAUUGGGGAAAGACUUGUAUGCACAGAGAAUUUAACUGUGAAAUGCAACACCACAAAACUCCAUUGUUUAUUGUUUAGUCCACAGUACUGGUAGGAUAGCAAGAACAACUCAGAUCAUUGUAGCAUUACUGUGAGGCUGGUGAGGCACUGAAACAGGUUGUCCAGAUGAGCUGGAGAUAACCCAUCCUUGAAGGUGCUCAAGGCCAUGUUGGAGGGGCUCUGAGAAACCUGGUCUAGUGUUCUGACUCAUGGUGGGGGAUUGGAAUAAGAUUCCAAUCUUCUAAACUUGGAAUUAAUUUCCCUUCCAACCUAAACCAUUCUGUCAUCUUAAGAGUCCCUGCCAACCCAAACCAUUCUGAUUCUAUUAUUAUUGGAGCAUGUGCACACAUAGAAAAGACUCAAGCCCCAUGCUUGGUGGCAUUUCAUAGGACUGCCUUCCCAAUGGGAUGACUCUCAUUCUCUUCCCAUAAGUGUCUGUUGCCAAAAAAGUGUAAAUUGAGGUUAUUUCUUGUACUGUCCGUUGUUGCCUUGUUACCCUCUUCUCUGUGAGAAAAGACUCUACCUCACUACGAUCUCCUUUCAAGUAGGUGUAGAGAGAAUGAUCGUCCCUGAGGCUCCUUUUCUCCUGGAUAACCACCUCCAGCUCCCUUAACCACUCCUAUAACUACAUAUUAUCAUGCUGCAGCCCCUACAACAGCCUCAUUGCCCUUUUUGGACACACUCUGGAGAUGAGAGGCAGACUACAAACCAGUCCAUAGCUACAGGAACAAGCUCCCAUGAUAAUUCAGGAUAUGGCUUUACUGAAGGUUGAGACUUCAAUGUAAGAUGGGUGCAGUAUGUUCUGUCACCCUGUCACCAGCAUGAGUGACAUGGAACUGUGUCUUGUUUAAAGCAAGUGCAGAUGUCAAGUUUGCCAAGUUUCUAUCAUGCCUUAAGACUGUCAGCAUGAGCUAAGAAUCAAGCCCCAAAAUUUCUUGUCCUCUUUCCAGUUAAUUCAUAAUGUUUUCCUUAUACAGAAAUAAAUCACUUAUCUAUUCUCC